CAGCGUGUCUCGCCCUUAUCCUGCGUGCGAAAAGACCAGCUCUCACGGUGAAACCCUAGACCAAUCGGCCGCCCCUUCGAGCCACCAAUCGCUCGCCCCUCGAGCCCCGCGCCCCUCUUCCCAUUCUCUCCAUCACCUACACCGCCUCUUCCUCUCCUCCUCUACAACAGUGCGUGGUCGCCACCGCCGCUCGUCUCUUUCUUCGCGCCCUUUCUCCUUCAAGGCUCCUCUCUCGCGUCCGUCCCGGUGGUGGCGACCUACAGGCGAAGGGCAGUGGCGGCGGCGGCGUUUGAUUCGAUGCAGCGCCAUGGGUCAAUCAUUGCAGGAGAGAGAGAUGAGAGGGAGAGAGAGAGAAGAAAGGAGAGGAGGGAGAAAGAGAGAGGAAAGAGGAUGGAGGUGCAUCGGCUGAUGGGACAGGGUCACACGCCGGCGAGUCGGGUGAGAUCUGGCGGUUGGCGGCGGCUCGAUCCGCUCCUGGAUCGGGAGCUGCGAGGAGUCCCUGUAGGAGAGAGAGGGUGAGAGGGAGAGAGAGAAGGAAGGGGAGGAGGGAGAAAGAGAGAGGAAGGAGGAGAUGGAGGUGCGUUGGUUGAUGGGACAACUAGGCAUCUAGGUUUGGGUGGGGUUGGAUUCCUACAACAAUGGAGGCACCGGCCAACAGCUACAUGUUCCUCGGAUUUUGCAACCAAGUGUCGAGUUGUGUUGUUGUACCAAAGAUACUGUAUAAAGAUGUGCCAUGUUGUUCCUCGCCAGGCGAGCUCACACCUUGUCCCCUCAGUAUAUCCCUUAUUUUCUUUUUGAAAUUUGAGCUAUACUUUGGUCCGAUCUGUUAUAUGAGGCAGUCUACACACUACCUGAAGAUGGUCUACCGGGUAACUGUGUGGUGCAUGGCUUACCAGAUUAUAUCUGCAGCCAAUUACCAGAGUUUUUCUGUGGUUUUUGCACAUGCUCUAACCAGUGAGGGUGCCUGAGAUCCAACAAAGGCCUCUGGAGUGACUCCUUAAUUAUGAAAAUCAUAAAUAGCAUAGAAUCGUCUGCACUAAGGGAUAUCGUGCAAGUAUCUGAUAUAAAGAAAGCAAUUACAGGCUCCAUAAGAUUGUGUGCGCUCAAGGCAAGAUUAUGAAAUAUCUGAUCCGUGAGCUCUCAUUUGCGCUGUCCCGGCUUCUUUCAGCCGUCAGAUGAUCGAUUUCUUCCAAUGGAUAAAGCUACUGAGUCCAAUAAAAGUUAUAACCUUGCUGGAAAUGUAUAGGGGCAGUAUAACACAUGGCAACAUUAAUCGAUGAAUAGAGUUUUGCCUGAGCCAGGUAUUCCUCUCUUUGUAUUUUUUUAUACCAGAUAUUACAUGUGCUACCUGUGAUGGCAAGGUUAAAUUUGGUACUAUCCCGAUCGAAGGUACAUGUCCUUAGUGAUUUACUCUGCUUCCUGGACUUGAACUCUUAUCUUAUAUUAUCUUAUAUUUAUGAGAGUGCUCAUAUUUACAUCUACAUGGUCUCUUCAAAGCAAAAAGGCCUUACCGCUCCCUUCUAAGCCCAUUUAUUUAUUGAUAAGUGCCGCAGUUUUUGUAUCUAUUUCAGUUAUUUGUAUUAUUUGUGUCACAAUGCCUUUUCUUCAUAUGCAUAACAUUUUGCAUAAUUUCCUUCAUUAUGUCUGUAAUGCAAGUGUUUGCGCUCUUUUAUUCAUUUUGUAUUAGGCAAUGCGCAUUGUAGCAGAAUUGAUCUAUCCCAAUGUUUGCGCUCUUUUGCAAGUAUUGUUUCUGCACUAAAGAAAGAAAUAUUUGCUCAUAAACUUGGGUCUUUGGUACUAUUCUGUAAAAGUAGAUAACUGAUUUUAGGGGCUACGCACAUUUAGUGUUCUUGCUCCUUUCCGAGUCCAAAAAAGCUCAUUUUCCACAUGUCUAAAUUUUCGAUAAACAUGCGAAAAUUGGUUUGCUCCCUUUCCUCACUAGAAGCAUAUGGUAUGGUUUGUUGUGUAUCGUCGAAAUAAUUUUGGUUGAUGACGAUAUCCUGUCACUCACUCAGCCGGUCUGAUUGUUUGCACUGAUACUCUCUUGGGUUUCACCCAUUUUGUUAAUAUUUGAGCCAUGAUACAUCCCUCUUGAUCUUCUCUAGAAAGGAAUUCAGUCUGUGAAGAUUUUAAUAGGUGUUCAGGUCGUUAUCGAGGUUAAUUAGAAAUGGAUACCAUCAAAGGUUUAUAGUUCAGUAAUUACUUUAAAAUUUUAUUUAUGGUGUAGAAACAACAGAAUUGUUCAGGUGUAAAACUUUUGCUCAAUGGCUGAACCUGAAGAAAUGCUACUCGUACUAUUGUUCAUCAGAGUCAGAGACCAUGCAUUUUGGUUCAAUUUCCUUAUAUGCGUUUGAGUUACUUUCUCACCACCUGACUUAAUCGUAACAACUAUACAUAUACAACUAUGCAUAUACAGUUAGAGGUAUGCUACUCCAAACAUAUGUUCAUUUUUGGUUUAGAUUUUGUAGAUUGAACUAACGCGAUACGAAAAUUAUCCGUCACCCCAAAGGUUCCUCCCUGUUGGUUUCGGGAUUAGUAUUUUGAUCUCUGUUUGAAAAAGGACAAGAACAGACUCACUAAAACCAUCAGGUUCCUCCCUGUUGGUUUCAACAUCAGUAUUUUGAUCUCUGUUUGAAAACUAUUAGAAAAGGACAGAUAAGAACACGUUUUUUUGGUGUGCAAGAGAGUAGUCAUAGUUAGAAGAUUAGAUUCUUCAUGUCUUACAUAUAUCUUCUUCUGUAAACAAUGUUCCAUAAUUUCUGGAUUUGUUGUAGGUUCAAAGAUGAAAAUCUACCUGAUAUAUUGUUCUUGGGAUUAAGUAUUGUAGCGAUAUAUCCGAGAAUUUGAAUGACCUAUCUGCUACCAGGUUGCUAUACUUACCACAAAUUGAAUAUUUUGUGUGCUUAUGCUCUUACUGCAGCUACAUAUUGCAUUGUACAUACAUACAAAUUAUUGAUCUUAUUUUCAAAUAUUAUUCCUCAGUGUUAAGCUGCAGGCUGAGUUCCGAUUGUUCUUUUGCCAGAAACAGGUAAUGCCAUAGCCGAAGCACAGUAGAGUACAAAUUUCACAAAGAAGGUCAUGUAAUAUUUUGCUUAGGUUCAUUCAAAUAUCUAGAGUUGACAUGCAUAUGUCGCUUUCAUGUGCACAUGUUGUUAGUUUUGUAUUUGCAACUAGCUCUAUAAUUUGUUAAGUGGUUGUUGCACUUGCUUCUUUGUACACUUGUGUAAAAUGUUUUGUUUUCAAUAUAUCCCAUUGAGCAAAUAAAAGUUGUCUUUAUUUUGUGUUUGCUUCGCUUCUCUAAAGUUUUGUUACUGUUGCAGGAGAGACGUGAGGGUUAGUUGCAUUCAUGUUGCUCCAUUGCUUGAGAUGGAUCCAUUUGAUUGAGGUGCCAUGCUGGAAAGAGAAUAUCUUUGUGUUUGUGUUACAGAAAGCAUGGCUGGCCUCUGUAUUUAUUUUUUAAGGUUGGCACACUACUUCUGUUAACCUGUAAGAAAAUCUCUACUAUAAAAGGAGCUAGGCUACCCGCCAUUCUGGGGCCUCUCCCGUGCGCACACAUAUUGGCCAUCUGAUUAGAGGUUGGAUGAUUUUUCACCGUUGGAUUUUACUGUUUGAUGUAAAGUUUAGUUACCACAAUGUUUUUUUAUCAAGUGCCUGUUACUCGACCCAUAUGAUCCUUGGCCCACGAGGCAGCGAAGGGUUGGUCAGCCCAGUCCGCGACCAAAACGCUCGGAGUGAAAACCCUAGACCAGGAGCGGUAAAAAAGAGACCCCCUCCUCCUCGUUCCUUCCACCCCUCGAUGCAGUGCACGCCGCAGUAGCCAGGACAAACUACAUCAAUGGUGAUUAGGAACUAAAUCGACAAGCAUCGAUAUUUUUGUUAGGAAGGUGCGCUAGGAGCCUAGGAGUGGAACAUGACUUCCUCGAAUCUAGCCGAGAUAAAAUGUGAUGUUGUCCUGUUGAGAUUAAACGGAUGACUAGGGAAGCGUCACACUAUCAGACGAAGUGCGUGUUACAUCAAACAAAAUCCAUAAUCGAGCUACAUUGGACCCUACUGCUUUAAUCACUAUCUGUGAUAUCAAAUAGACUCUUCUGGAAAUUCAUGAUGUUGUGGUUGCGCUUCAAAGCGUGACUAGCGUGGCAUGUCUCAUUGCAGAAGAAAGGCAUAUGAUCCAGACUCAGAUUCAAGCUGCAUUGAGGGUUAUGUUGGAGACAUGGAUGAUGGCUUAAACCACUAUGUGCGAUUGUAGGCUGCGGCGGAGACAGGCCCCAGGCAGCCCGAGUGGAUGCCUGGGGUAUAAGGCUGAUUCCCUUUGUAUACUGUAGAGAGCACUGCAGUGCUGGAAGGCUUCCUAGGCCGGCCGGGGGUGUGGCUGAAUCCUGGCGCCGCCACUGACCAUAAGCAUGCCUGCUUAGACGACGAAAUUAUGUUCGAUACUGCUCGGACAAGUAGCGAUGACUCUACCUAAUACCACCACCUUCUCGCGUCUUGGUCCUUGCUGCGAGAAAGACAAUGCAUCUCUGGCCUUUGCUAAUAUAGCUUACUUUUAUAAAGCCAAUGUAUGACAUUAUCAAGUGAUCUGAAUAUCUUCUUUUAAGCUACCAAGUACCAUGUAAUGGAACAUAAAUAUCUAUUAAGUUAGUUCUAAAUCAAUCUCAUAUGCAUUGUUUGAAUA